rnacentral:rRNA from 1 species
UACAGAGGUCUCAAGCGUUGUUCGGAUUCAUUGGGCGUAAAGGGUGCGUAGGCGGCGCGGUAAGUCGGGUGUGAAAUCUCGGAGCUUAACUCCGAAACUGCAUUCGAUACUGCCGUGCUUGAGGACUGGAGAGGAGACUGGAAUUUACGGUGUAGCGGUGAAAUGCGUAGAUAUCAGGAGGAACACCGGUGGCGAAGGCGGGUCUCUGGGCAGUAACCGACGCUGAGGAGCGAAAGCGUGGGGAGCAAACAGG